UACAGGGGGGGCAAGCGUUGUUCGGAAUUACUGGGCGUAAAGGGUUCGUAGGUGGCCACUUAAGUCAGACGUGAAAUCCCUCAGCUUAACUGGGGAACUGCGUCUGAUACUGAGUGGCUUGAGUGCAGGAGAGGAAUGCGGAAUUCCAGGUGUAGCGGUGAAAUGCGUAGAUAUCUGGAGGAAUACCGAUGGCGAAGGCAGCCCCCUGGGCUAACACUGACGCUCAUGCACGAAAGCGUGGGGAGCAAACAGG
rnacentral:rRNA from 1 species